GAAAUGCGAUAAGUAAUGUGAAUUGCAGAAUUCAGUGAAUCAUCGAAUCUUUGAACGCACAUUGCGCCCGCCAGUAUUCUGGCGGGCAUGCCUGUUCGAGCGUCAUUACAACCCUCAGGCCCCCGGGCCUGGCGUUGGGGAUCGGCGGAAGCCCCCUGCGGGCACAACGCCGUCCCCCAAAUACAGUGGCGGUCCCGCCGCAGCUUCGAUUGCGUAGUAGCUAACACCUCGCAACUGGAGAGCGGCGCGGCCACGCCGUAAAACACCCAACUUCUGAAUGUUGACCUCGAAUCAGGUAGGAAUACCCGCUGAACUUAAGC
rnacentral:misc_RNA from 1 species